CCUACGGGAGGCUGCAGUGGGGAAUAUUGCGCAAUGGAGGAAACUCUGAUGCAGCAACGCCGCGUGAAUGAUGAAGUUCUUCGGAUUGUAAAGUUCUGUGAUGGGGGAUGAACACAAUGACGGUACCCCAGUAGCAACCCGCUGCUAACGACGUGCCAGCAGCCGCGGUACUACGUAGGUGGCAAGCGUUAUCCGGAAUGACUGGGCGUAAAGGGUGCGGAGGUGGUUUAGCAAGUUGGAGGUGUAAGUCCGGGGCUCAACCUCGGCGCUACCGCCAAAACUAUUAGGCUAGAGUGCAGGAGAGGUAAGUGGAAUUCCUAGUGUAGCGGUGAAAUGCGUAGAUAUGAGGAGGAACAUCAGGGGCGAAGGCGACUUACUGGACUGUAACUGACACUGAGGCACGAAAGCGUGGGGAGCAAACAGGAUUAGAUACCCGAGUAGUC
rnacentral:rRNA from 1 species